rnacentral:sRNA from 1 species
GUCGGGUAAGAUGUCGGCCUGCAAUCUUCAGUCCGCGUGAGUUAUCCCGGUAUCCGCUCUCCUUUGACCACGGAUGUACUGGCACUGUCGAAUGCAUGAUACCAGCAAGGUCAGGCGGAUCGCCUGGCCUUUUUUGUU